rnacentral:rRNA from 1 species
AUGGAUAGUGAGAGGGACAGCAUCCCGGGCAGUUUUAUGGCACUACUAAACAUGGUUGAGCAGCCAAUGUCAAAUUUGAAUCCACAGAACAAUCUGAAGUCAGUACCCGAAGAUAGUUCUUGCUUUUCUGAUAGACCUUAUUGCUCAGAAGACAAUGAUGUACUUUCGAGACCAAACUUAAGGGUGGACACUUACGAUUAUGCUGAUGACUCAAAUGAAGUCCAGUCCCGUCUUGAAUGUAUCAAAGACACCAUUGAAAUUCCAGAUAUGAUAUCUGGGCCUGAAAAUCUAGAUCAGGAUUACUUAUUUUCUGCAUACAAUGUUCACACUGAGGAGUCUGAUUCUAAUGAACGAUACCUUGAAGGAGGACAAGUUGGAGCUGUUGAACACGGAAUUAGAAGUUUUUGUGAAGACACUUCUGUUCAAAUGUUAAGGCCGGUUGUUGGUAUGAAGUUUUCAUCAAAGGCAGAAGCAUAUGACUUCUACAAUACUUAUUCUUGGGUGCUUGGUUUCAGUAUUAGAAAUGGUGAUAAUUUUAUUAAUUCCAAAGGCGUACAAACUAUGCAGGAAUUAAUUUGCCAACGAGCCGGAAUCAACAAGACUACUAAAUAUGCCACUACUAGAUAUGGUUGCAAGGCAACACACAGGGUAAAUCUUAAUGAUAAUUCAGAAUGGUAUGUCAAAGUUUUUAGGCAGGAACACAAUCACUCCCUUGUCGAAUCUUGCAGUGAGAAAAAGCACCUGCAUUCACAUCAACAUAUUGACAAGCCAAUCAGAGAUUUAAUAAAGAAUCUUCGGGAGAAUAAUGUAUCACUCACAAGGGUUAAUUCUAUAGUAGCAGGUUUCUAUGGAUCAACAAAGAAAGUACCAUUCUGUAAGCGCAAGUUGCGUACUGUUUGUUCUCAGAUUGCAAGUGAAACCCUUCAGGACGACAUUGCUAAGACACUGGAGAAUUUCCGUGAUAUGAUAGCAAUGGACGAUAGAUUUUCUUUCUGUGCAUAG